rnacentral:lncRNA from 1 species
UGUAUCCUCACCUAAGGAGCGUUUACCUAACGUUACACGUGAGGGAGCCGCCUCAUUGAGCCAGUGAUACGGAGGGUAAUAGAGGAGAAUGACUUGAUGCGUGGAUCUCAUUGAUAUGUGGGUAAUCCCUUUUCUGCUUGCGCUUUAUGUUCGAUGGAUCCUCAGUGCGUUAAUCUUUCUACUCAAUUAUAUAUGUUUUUAUUAUGGUUAUGGAGAUCUUGGGUUGCGCAAUUUGCAUCCAACAUGUCAAUGAUCAGAAGCCGGAUUAUGUCAAUAGAUUAUGACUUAGUUGCAUGUAAACGAGUUAUUUCUUCAUAAGAUUUCGAGAUAUGUGGAAGUACGAGGAAAGUCUUAUCGAGUCUCUGUGAGGGUGGAAUUGUCAAAAUCGCACAUCUUUCUU